GAUGAAGAACGUAGCGAAAUGCGAUAAGUAGUGUGAAUUGCAGAAUUCAGUGAAUCAUCGAAUCUUUGAACGCACAUUGCGCCCCUUGGUAUCCCGAGGGGCAUGCCUGUUCGAGCGUCAUUUCACCACUCAAGCCUGGCUUGGUGUUGGGUGACGUCCUCUUUGGGGACGCGCCUCGAAACGCUCGGCGGCGUGGCACCGGCUUUAAGCGUAGCAGAAUCUUUCGCUUUGGAAGUCGGGGCCCCGUCUGCCGGAAGACCUGCUCGCAAGGUUGACCUCGGAUCAGGCAGGGAUACCCGCUGAACUUAAGCAUAUCAAUAAGCGGAGGA
rnacentral:misc_RNA from 1 species